rnacentral:rRNA from 1 species
AGCAGCCGCGGUAAUUCCAGCUCCAAUAGCGUAUAUUAAAGUUGUUGCAGUUAAAAAGCUCGUAGUUGAAUUUCGGGAUCAAUAUGUUGGUCGUGCCUUGGUACGUACUGGCGUCAUUGGUUUCUACCUUCUGAAGAACCUCGAUGUCAUUAAUUUGGUGUCUUGGGGAAUCAGGACUGUUACUUUGAAAAAAUUAGAGUGUUUAAAGCAGGCUCACGCUUGAAUACAUUAGCAUGGAAUAAUGAAAUAGGACGUUUGAUUCUAUUUUGUUGGUUUCUAGGAUCGACGUAAUGAUUAAUAGGGAUAGUUGGGGGCAUUAGUAUUCAAUUGUCAGAGGUGAAAUUCUUGGAUUUAUUGAGGACUAACUACUGCGAAAGCAUUUGCCAAGGAUGUUUUCAUUAAUCAAGAACGAAAGUUAGGGGAAUCGAAGACGAUCAGAUAACCGUCGUAGUCUUAACCAUAAACUAUGCCGACUAGGGAUCGGAUGAUGUUAAUUUUUAAUGACUCA